CUUCUGCUGUUGGCUCUUUUUUAAGGUGAUAAACAAUGAUUUAGCUAAAAGACGGAUUCUAAACAUUUUUAUCUGUGCCCUGUUAAUACCUACCCAAGGACUUCAGCAACUGAAAACCAUCUCCCUACUUAAAGAAGUAUGUUAUUCAAGCACUAGAUCUACCAGGAGUGCGAAAAAGGUCACCUUCGACAGAAGGAAGACAUGCUCUCAAGUGGGGUACAGUAUGGCCUUGAAGCUCAGUGACUUCUGUGAGAUGAAGACAGAAGUUUGCUCCCUAUCCAGCUAACCAGACCCAGCAUUCAAGAAAAGUAUCAUAGCCACAGCAAGUUUUAGCCUGAGUGAAACCCAUGGAUCCACAGCUGAACCAAGAGAAUGUGAGACAAAACACUGAGUGCAGCAGCAGCUAACAACUUAUUUGGUAGCAAAUUACUGAGACAGCUUUGGAUUUUUAAAACUUUGCCUGUUGUUCAAGCAUAACAUUCAGAUGCAGCGACCCUGUUGAUCUAUCUGAAGUGCAACAUACUCUAACCAAAGGCAGUUCAAGAAAGCAGCACUUAACAUCCAUGGCUGUGGAACAUCUGGUAAGCAGCUUCCACUCUGCAUUCUUUGUUGCCCACUAAAACUUUAAGGUUUGAGGAAAACCCAUUACCCAACUUGCCCCUAAAAGAUUUUCCCACAUGGAUCAUUGCAUUUGUGAUCGUGAUCUUUAAAGUCAUAAACACCAAAUUGUUUGCCUGCCUGCUGUGGAAACACUGCAGCCACUCCACCCAUGUGCACAUCCAUCCGCUGUCCUGUUCCACUGAAGUCACUUCUGAAGCCGCAUGCCGGUUGUCCCGGAGGAUGACGACUGAGACAGUGCCCUACCCAAGGGAAGGGUUCCCUUAGCACAGCUCAGUGAGUGCACACAUAAACAGGGCCCCAGAGAUUCCCCAGUCCCAGGAGGAGUUUCAAUGCCUGCUCAGCCACGGGAUACAAACCAUAGCUAAUAUUAGGCUCAUUCAUUCCAGCCUGUGGGGAAUCAGUUGUUUUUAAAGGGAACUACGUAGAGGCUGGUCCCGCAUGGAGCAGCUGUGUCCCCAGAUGGGGUCAUUUAAGGUGUCAGUAGGGACACGAUUGCAGUUCACAAACACAUCCCAGAAUGACCCACAAGGAGAAGAGGGCUGCAGAAGAGCCCGUUCCCCCUCCCAGGGCAGCUCUAUCCCGCCAGAAAAUUCCUUGGCAAGACAGAGGAAGCUGAGAUCCCUGCCUCUGGCUUAAUUUAUCCUUUUUA